rnacentral:lncRNA from 1 species
CUUAUUCUCCUAAUUAUUAACCUUCAAUUCCAUCAUCUUAAAAUUUCAUUCCCUACGUACCCUGGCAUCUAUAAAUUUUAAUUAACUCUUUUGCUAUUUGGCUUUUUAGAUUGACAAUUUGGGACGAGAUGGAUCGUUUUUUUUUAGAGUUAGGUAGCAUGCUACCCGUUUCGUUUAUUUCAUUUAGAAAUAAAUUUAGCUGGAAAUGUGAUUCAAUUAGGAUUCGAACUUGGAACCUCGGAUAUAUACCAACUAUCAAAUUCUUUGCCACUUGCUCUAGAGACGGUCAGGGAGACGAGAUGGAUGGUUAGAAGAGUACGUUG